AUGUUGUUGGGCACUUGUUUUGUUUGUUUAAGAAUUUAUAUCUUUUUCAUUUUUCAAUAUUUAAAUUCUGUGAUGCAUGGGUACACUGUUUUGGACAAAGUACCACUAUCGGGUACCUGUACGUGUAUGGUACAUACAUGGUUCGUAUUAAGUUCGUACCAUUUAUUUUUCUGUAUUUGGUAUGCGUGUUGGUACACGGUUGAUAAUCAGGUACCUACAAAUAUUGUAUUUUUUUCCCCGGUCCAUACGCAAAUAAUAACAGUUUUUUUCUUCUUUCAUUCUUUCAGGUUAUUUUUUUAUAAAAAUAGAAAUAAAAAACUAAUUCUAUAA